GUAAGGGGGCGACCGGCCUAGCUCAUUGUAUUUUCCGGCCGAUAAGCAUGUAGAGCCUCACUGGAAUGUAUUUCGGACGUGGGUUCGAAUCCCACCACCUCCACCA
rnacentral:tmRNA from 1 species